rnacentral:misc_RNA from 1 species
GAAAUGCGAUAAGUAGUGUGAAUUGCAGAAUUCUGUGAAUCAUCGAAUCUUUGAACGCACAUUGCGCCCCUUGGUAUUCCAUGGGGCAUGCCUGUUCGAGCGUCAUUUGUACCCUCAAGCUCUGCUUGGUGUUGGGUGUUUGUCCCCGUCUCCGCGCGUGGACUCGCCCCAAAGUGAUUGGCAGCCGGCGUACUGGUCCCGGAGCGCAGCACAUGUCGCGCAAACGAGUGCCUUGGUACGGCGGCGUCCAUAAGCCCCUCUCUCACGCUCUUGACCUCGGAUCAGGUAGGGAUACCCGCUGAACUUAAGC